rnacentral:tRNA from 1 species
GCGGGAGUAACUCAGUGGUAGAGUGUCUCGUUGCCAACGAGAAUGUCGCGGGUUCAAGUCCCGUCUCCCGCU